ACUCCUACGGGAGGCAGCAGUAGGGAAUCUUCCACAAUGGGCGCAAGCCUGAUGGAGCAACACCGCGUGAGUGAAGAAGGGUUUCGGCUCGUAAAGCUCUGUUGUUAAAGAAGAACACGUAUGAGAGUAACUGUUCAUACGUUGACGGUAUUUAACCAGAAAGUCACGGCUAACUACGUGCCAGCAGCCGCGGUAAUACGUAGGUGGCAAGCGUUAUCCGGAUUUAUUGGGCGUAAAGAGAGUGCAGGCGGUUUUCUAAGUCUGAUGUGAAAGCCUUCGGCUUAACCGGAGAAGUGCAUCGGAAACUGGAUAACUUGAGUGCAGAAGAGGGUAGUGGAACUCCAUGUGUAGCGGUGGAAUGCGUAGAUAUAUGGAAGAACACCAGUGGCGAAGGC
rnacentral:rRNA from 1 species